GUGAUUUGGUCUCAUCCAUUAAUACUGAAUCAGUGUCAUGAACGCACGAGUGAUAAGUUUGACAUUUGGGGCGAUUGUGGCUCAAGAGUUGGGAGUUCGCCUUGUAAUCGGAAGGUUGCCGGUUCGAGCCCCUGCUUGGACAGUCUUGGUCAUUGUGUCCUUGGGCAAGACUUCACUCGUUACCUACUGGUGGUGGUCAGAGGGCCCGGUGGCGCCAGUGUUCGGCAGCCUCGCCUCUGUCAGGGCGGCUGUGGCUACAGUGUGUGAAUGUAUUUUCUGUUAUUCUACUAACAGUAUUUGAAGGCUACACAACAACCUCAAAUGACUGGUCAUUAUUCACGCCCACCAGAAUGCUAUUAGCUGUUGUUGCAACCAUUGUUUUGGUUCUUGCUGCAUUUGCUUGUUCUGCAGAACCGGGGGAUUCAGCACCAGCAGAGAGAGUAGAACAUCAUCCACCAACUUGUGCUGUGGAAGUGCCACAAGAUGAUGACACAAGCGUUGUUCCUUGUUUGGAAAAAACAAAUGCAGUGAUUAAUACCCUGGAGGAACUAAAGAAGGAGCUUGAGAAACACAGAGAUCAUCUUACACAGCAGCUUGAAAGAAUAGAGACUGGGAGAAAUGAGAACAAGAUGAAGAUUCGACAAGUAGAGGACACACCUGACUUUUUGAAAGAAAAAGAUGACCUAUUAAAUGUCAAAUCGAAACUAGAUGAUGAGCAGAGAACAUAUGGAACAUUUGUGCUCCAUGUUGACCAGAUGCUACAGACAACAGAUACUCUACUCAGUUACUACUUGUAAUUGCGACUGAGAAGUUGAUAAUGUACAACAAAGAUCACGCUGACUUUGUGUUUGAAAAAUGUUUUUAAACAUGAAAUUCUCAUUUCUCAAUUACUGAAGCUCCACUGAGCUUUCUUUGUAACAAAAUGGAAUAAUAGAAUUAAUAAUUAACUGUAACAUAAGGCAGGUCAAUCAUCUAUAAUUUCAGUGCAUGAAGAAAGAGUAAAUUUAUUUUUGAGGUGGUCUGAGAGUCACAUAUUUGUAUUUUAUGUCUGGGUAUUGUAAAAAACUCCAAUAAAAACUCAAAGCUGUUAAUGGUUUACCAGCCUAGUGCUGUGCAUACUGCACAGGGGCUGAUUACCUUUCUUAUAAAAAAGCAUUAUAAAAGGAAUUCUAUUCUAUUAUCUGGGCUAAUUGCAUUUGCACAAACUGGAAAUUCUAGUCACUUGGCUGGGUGUAUGACUGCGAUUUAUUUGUUGCAUUGGUAGUCUUUCAUUGUUUCAUACCUUCAUCUUUUGAUUGUUAGUGUAAAGAAAUAACUAGAUAAAACUGGGUGUGAUUUCUACUCAUUAUCUGUUUUGGUUUGUAUAAUCAGUAUAUAUUACAACUGGGUUUCAGUUUUGGUUUUUUGCUUGUUUUUCUAACUCACAAACAGACAACACUGUAUGUUUCAAAGGUAACAACAUUUGCAUUAAAUGAGGUGCUCUCACUUGGUCUUAACUCUCAUUGCUGUACUUUAUCAAUUCCUAUUAUCAGUUCCUGUUGGAAUGCACCGUGGCACUUUUUCUUUAGCUAAAUUUGCGUAGGUCAAUUAUUGAAUUACUAACUUUUACUUUUGUGUAGAGUUUGCACGUUCUCCCCAUGUUUAUCUGUGUUCUGUGUAAACCAUAGUGUACACCACACAUGCAGUUAUGUCUUUGGCACAAAGACUGCAAUCCCAAUUAAGCCACAAUUUUUUACUAGAAGUAAGUUCAUCAGUUCAUUAUCACUAUCAAUGCAGUUUUUACUAUGACAGUAGUAGGUGCUACUGUACAUGGUGAUCAGGAGGAACACUUUAGGUGAAAGUAUUGGAGGGCUGAUGCAUAAUUUUAUAUGAAAAAUUUAUGCUCCAUACUGAAAAGUUACUACAGCAAUGUAUUAUUGGUUCUGAACUACUCAAACUCACAUUUUAAACACUUCUAUUACUUUGUCUUUAAUUAUCUUCAGCUAGCAAAGUAUUGCAAGUCAAUAAUUACUAGAGACAGAGAUAAGCAGAGUGUACCUUGAUCUACAAAAAUCCUAGAUCAAGGUACAUUAUUUUAGUACUUUGACUUACUGACUGCACUGAAGUAAAUGUUGAGAGCAACAACAGGUAUGAACUCUUGUUUCGACAUUACUUGGUGAUGAUUAGUUUUCAUGUAGAUAGGUGGGGGGUGGGAGGUUGGGGGCAUGCUGCCUUUGUGUUUAAAUAGUGAUUUUAAAAAUCGACAGCUUGAUAUUCAGGAUUUUAUGAUUGAGUUACUCAAGCUAACCGUUUUUUUUUAGGAAAUUGGAAUGUUAAUAUUAAUUUUUCUGCAAAAGACAGUGGUUAAUUAAUUUUGAGGUUGAGUUUGAGAGUUAUUGUAACAGAAGUCAUACAUUUGUAUUCCGGGUACUAUAAACAACCUUAAUAAAAACUGUCAUUACCAGGUUCCACCGUAUUUAAACAAACUAGUAAUGGUAGUUACAUGAUAGGUUGUGUGGCUAGAAUUUAGCUGUUAAUUUGUAUGUAAGUUCUUCAUCUUUAACUUAAGCUGGUUUUGUUUUGACAAGGUCAGUUCAUGACUUUAAUAAGUCCUAGGUCCUGAUUUUUAAGAUGAAUGGGUGUGUUAAAACAUUUGGCUGGAAAUACAAAUUGUCAGCUUGUGUUUGGUUCUGUACCACUAUCCGAUACCAGUGUAUGCAUAAAUGCAUAAACCAUGUGAAUUUUCAUGCUGCUGAAUAUAUAUUACAAUGAUUUCAGUGACAGAGAUGUUUAUAGAUGUAAUUUCCACUGUUGACCACCUGUGGGAAAUAUCAUCUCUCAAAAUAUUUGUGCCCAUAACAUUUAGUUUCAGAAUGUACUCUGUAUGUGCAACUGACCUCCAACUUGCAAUCUGCUGAUCUAAAAUUCAAUGUCGUAAGCAAUGGCAGAAAGAGAUGAAUCAAACAGCUGCAGCCCAAACAGAUUUAAAAAAUGUGCCUGAUAUUAUUACAGCAAGAGGACAGCCUGUAACCUCUGGCACUAAUCUGAUGCAGCACACUUGAAAGAGUUUUGCUCAGACUAUAAAGCAGCCCUGGCAGGUUGUUUCGCUCUCCUCUUCACCUGAAUCCUAGAUUUAUUGUAUUGUAACAAUGGUUAAAUGUUAUCUUACAGUGACAGGUUGGCUAUAUGUGCACACUGUUGUUAUUUCUUGAAGAUACAUGUUUGGUUGUGCUGCAGGAAAAAGGGAGUUAAUGUGUGCAGGAAGGGGAAGGGGAAGGGGGUCCUUGUUGUUGUGUGAUUGUACGGGGCUGAAGUGAGGUGCUGUACGAGAGCACUCUCCCCGGAGUUAACGGCCCGCUUGCCUGUGUUACGGAAUAAACGGACAAACUGAGAUCAAAACGUCUGGUUCUUGAGAAUGUUACAGUAUUAUUUUUCACAUGCAUG
rnacentral:lncRNA from 1 species